UACGUAGGGGGCGAGCGUUAUCCGGAAUUAUUGGGCGUAAAGGGUGUGCAGGCGGUUUGCCAAGUUCGUAGCGACAGCCAUCGGCUUAACUGAUGGAGGAUUACGAAAACUGGCAGACUUGAGAGCGAGAGAGGGACAUGGAACUCCGGGUGGAGCGGUGACAUGCGUAGAGAUCCGGAAGAACACCAACGGCGAAGGCAGUGUCCUAGCUCGUUUCUGACGCUCAAGCACGAAAGCUAGGGGAGCGAACAGG
rnacentral:rRNA from 1 species